CGGUCCUCGGUAGUGGCCUACGGGAGAAUCCGCCCGUGGACCUCGAUCGAAGACCGG
rnacentral:ncRNA from 1 species